rnacentral:snRNA from 1 species
GUAUUUACCUGGCAAUGAAAAAAACAUGAUCAUGGUGGUGGUUUUUCCAGGGCGAAGCUUAUCUAAUGCAUUCCAGAUGUGCUGACCCCUACAAUUACCUCAAAUGGGGGAAGCGUGAUUGCAUAAUUUGUGGUAAUGAGGUACUGUGUUUACAAUCUUCCA